UUAACUCAAAUUUGUAUGGAGUUGGAAGGUUUGCCUGUGUUUUCCACUAGAGGCGCUGUUCCAACUGCAUACAAAUCAGAGUUA
rfam:Bombyx mori DNA, contig: Bm_scaf33_contig20448, strain: p50T/Dazao, build 2, whole genome shotgun sequence.